CCGCCAUUUUUAGAGUGGCUGUCUUUGUGUACGUUGUGUUGCUAGUGUAGCAAUAUUUCAUUCGUAGAACCACAUGAAAACUAUUCAAAAAUGGCGAAAUUGUCUACCUAAUGUACUAAACUACUUGGAUGGAGGGUUUUGGCCCGUCGAUGGGCUGUUUUUCAUCGCGAAAAUUGUAGCUGAAAACAAGGGCUGUUGUGGCCUGUUCUAAAGAAUGCGUCGUUCUGGUGAUCCCAAUGUCAGUGACGUUAGGAGAGGGCUUCGCCGCAAGUCAGGUGAUCACCAUCCGCCGGUCAAUUCUGGUGCUGCUGAGGUUAUGACAACGCCACCAUCACCGUCGUUUCAGGCCCAGCAGAGCCCGCUGCAGCAGUUUAUGCUCAGUGCAACCUCUGGUCCCAUGCAGGGUAUAACUUUGCAAGGGCAGACUCUGAAUCUCCAACAGCUUCAGCAGGGCCAGAAUAUCGGGUUGCCAACUGCGGUUCAGCACAACAGAGCACAUUCUCUGGGACAACUAAACGUUCAGCGAACACCAACCUCUCCGCCUGCAGGAGCAUUUCAACAGUUGAGUCCACAAGCUCAAAUCUUGGCUCAACAGUUUUCCCCGACAUCUGUAGCAUUCUCUUUGCAGCCACAGGCAACAGCGACAAACACUUUCCAGCAAAGUCCGCAAACCAGCUUGGCUUUGAACCAACUACAUUUACAACAGCAACAAAGAGCCAAUGCAGCCAAUGCUAUGCUAAACAUACCUAUCAGUCCAACAACAAGAGGUUUACUUGAUCCCGCAUUAACAUUGCGACAAAUGAGUGUCAACCAAUCAAGUGCUAUUCAUAACCAGUUUAUGUUCCAGGAUGAUAGGAAGUUGUUCCCAGAUGGAGAGUUUCAAUUGUCUCGCGAAAGAAUACCCACACAGCCUUUGCCGUCCCCGACUCAACAACCAGUGGGGACAAUCCACCAUCAUGGACCAGGACAGAGUCAUAGCCCGUCGAGAAGCAUUCCUUCGCUCAGUAGUCCAGGGCCAAGUCCCACACACAAUGUCCUUGGUAUACCGGGUCUACAUUUAGGAAGCCAAAUGAGCACACAAGUUACUCCACAAAGGAGAAGCAGUGCAGGAUACAGUCCAACAAAUAGACCGGGUUAUGAAAGAACUAGUCCUAUGUCAGGUGGUGCUUAUAUGAUGCAAACCAGCCCAGUACGGUCCAGCCCUAAUCAAAGUCCAGUGGUGAUGCGAAAAACGCAGCUAAAACCAUUGGAGGAAAAGCCUCCGGCAAACUCGGAAGUAGCUCAUCUGAGAAAAACUGUGUUUGAACAUAAAGAAAAAGAGCUACAAACACUUAAAGAGAACUAUAACGAUAGACUAAUGGAAUUAUUUUUCUUAGAAAAUGGGGGAAACAUGAUGGAUUUUCUUAGUUGGAAGAAACGUCCUACUCCUCAGUUAGUGAACUAUUUGAAAUCACAAAACUUAAACGGUGAAAGUGAAGAGGAGGAGCAAACGAUCAAUGAUGAGGUCAAAGUCAUAACAAAUGUAGGUAGUAAUAUCCCAGUAUGUACUCCUGUUGCAAUCUCUACACAGCUACCACCAGCAGCGUCUGCAUUAUCACAGCAGUUGGAGCAUCAGCAACAGCAGCAGCAAGCCCAAUUUCAAGCCGGUAUGCCACUAGUCUUGCCAAUAGUUACUACAAGUACCUACAGUCAAAUUGACUUUGAGGCUUUGAGGAGACAUGCAUUUAUUCAGUCAGCUUUGGAUGCCAACAAGGCACAGGGUGGUCUAGUUUUUCCGACUGGUCCUCAGCCAAAUGUAACCCUUCAGCCAGGCAUGGUAUCACCAAUACCAUCAGUGGCACAAGUUCCACAGACGCCUCCCAUUGCUGGUCAGUUGGUAGGUCUUCCAGUGCAAAAUUCUGCCCCACUUCAUGCACCGCCGCCAUCACCUCAAGUCUCGGUUGGUGCUACGGUCUCAACUGUAUCUUCAAACUACCACCACCAACAACCACCAAUGCAACAGUUGGUCAAAGCACUGACAGAACCACCAGCAACGGCUGUAUCGGCUCCGCCACUGACAGAAGCUUUGACUUCAUCUGUUCCUACAGCAACUACAACCACAACUGUUGCUGCAGCAAGUGCUGCAACUGCAACAACCACCAGUGUCAAUACACCUUUAAUGGUAUCAACUGCACCAUCCAGCAUGCCUGGGGUGUCUCCAACUGCGCUUUCUCUUGCUAAGAUGCCCAAGUCUCCACUUUCUCCCACUUCACACCAGAGAUUUCUUACAAGGCAGCACUCAAUCUCGGCUGUAUACGACUAUACCAUUGGGUCACAAGAAGAGAUUGUGGAACGAGCAAAGCAGGAAGCACAGGUAAUGCAGAGAAUAGCCCAGCUUAGGAAAGAAGGUCUAUGGUCAGCACGGAGAUUACCAAGAGUACAAGAACCACCGAGGUGCAAGACACAUUGGGAUUUCUUGCUAGAAGAAAUGCAGUGGUUAGCUGGUGAUUUCUUACAAGAAAGAAAAUGGAAAAAGGCUGGUUGUAAAAAGGUGGCUCGAGCAGUUGUGAAAUUUUUCCAGGAGAAAAAAUUGAAGGAAGACAGAGCUGAACGAGAAGAAGGGCAGAAGUUGAAGAGAAUAGCAAGUACUAUUGCUAAAGAAGUUAGACAAUUCUGGUCAAAUAUUGAAAAAGUCGUGCAAUAUAAACAACAGUCGAGGCUAGAAGAGAAGAGGCGGAAAGCUCUGGAUCUACAUCUUAAUUUUAUAGUUGGUCAGACUGAGAAAUAUUCUUCAUGGCUCACUGAAGGUCUUACUCAGGGUUCACUUCAAGGAUCUUCAGUGCCCGGUUCUGUUGGUACAAGUCCAUCAAGAUCUGUCAGCGAUUUUGGCGUAGAUGAUGCAGAUUUUGAACCUGCACAUGAAGAGACUGAUGAUGAGGAAACCAUUGAUGUAGAGGAACAGCAAGAUGAAAACGAAGAUAAAAGUCAUGAAAUCAGGAUGUUGCAAGAAGAAAGUGAAGUUCCCAUUGAAGAACUGAUUAAUACUCUGCCGCCUGAAAUACUGGAAAAACCUGCUAGUAUCAAGGGUAGUGAUGACGAAAUUGAUGAAAAGGAUGAAGAAAAGAAUGAUGAAGAAUUUGUACCUUCUGAUGGAGAGGGUGAUGAUCAAGUAUUUGAUGAAGAAGAAACCAUAGAAGAACAGGAAAAAGUGGAGAGUCAAGUUAACCAUGAUGAAGAACUCAAUGAUCUAGCUAAAGAAAGUGAACUAUCAAUGGAAGAUUUACUGAAGAAGUAUGCUGCUGCAUAUGAUGAGGAUUUUGAAUAUCCACAGAUGAGUGAGGAUGAUUUGGAGACAGAUGAGACAGAAGAAAGUGAAUCAGAAGCAGAAUCCGAAAGUGAAGAAGGAAGUGAUGAGGAAGAAGAACUGGUUGAUAUUGGAAUGGAAUACCUUAUUAAUCCGGAUAAGGAAAAUGAUGAGCCAGUUGAGAAAAAGGGUGAGCAAGAUGGGAAAGGUCCUAAUAAAGAAAUUACAGAUAUAGCCGCUGCUGCUCAAAGCAUCCAACCUACAGGUUAUACAUUAUCUACUACUCAGGUCAAAACUCCUGUGCCUUUCUUGCUGCGACAUAAAUUACGUGAAUAUCAACACAUAGGCUUAGACUGGCUAGUAACUAUGCAUUGCAGUAAACUCAAUGGGAUCCUCGCAGAUGAAAUGGGUCUAGGUAAAACUAUACAGACGAUAGCGUUAUUUGCACACCUUGCUGAACAAGGUAACUGGGGCCCUCAUUUGAUAGUUGUACCCACCAGUGUAAUGCUGAACUGGGAAAUGGAAUUCAAGAAAUGGUGCCCUGGAUUUAAAAUUUUAACCUACUAUGGCAAUCAGAAAGAGCGAAAACAAAAACGGCAGGGUUGGACCAAAACCAAUGCAUUCCACGUGUGUAUCACUUCUUACAAGUUAGUAUUGCAAGACCACCAGUCCUUCAGGCGAAAGAAAUGGAAGUACCUUGUCCUGGACGAAGCUCAAAACAUCAAGAACUUUAAAUCACAAAGGUGGCAGACUCUUCUGAAUUUCAAUAGUCAGAGACGUCUUUUGCUAACAGGAACUCCUUUGCAAAACAAUCUGAUGGAACUUUGGUCCUUAAUGCAUUUUCUCAUGCCACAUGUGUUCCAGUCGCAUCGUGAAUUUCGAGAAUGGUUUUCAAACCCAUUGUCGGGAAUGAUUGAAGGCAGUCAGGAAUACAAUGAAAACCUCAUCAAGAGAUUACACAAGGUGCUACGUCCUUUUCUCCUUCGUCGAAUAAAGAAGGAAGUGGAAACUCAAAUGCCAUCCAAAUAUGAACAUGUUCUAAAGUGUCGUUUGUCAAAGAGACAAAGAUAUCUUUAUGACGAUUUCAUGUCUCGUGCAAAGACGAAAGAAACUCUUGCUUCAGGCCAUUUUAUGAGUGUCAUCAACAUCUUAAUGCAACUCCGUAAAGUGUGCAACCACCCCGAUUUGUUUGAAUCAAGACCAAUUAUUUCACCUUUUUACAUGGAAGGCAUCUGCUUCUACACUGCCUCGUUGCUUUGACUGCAAUGGAAUAUAAUCCAUUUAAGCAUAUUGAUUUGAGAUCAAUCAAUCUUUGUCUCGCCGACCUGGAACUUACACUGCCAGCAUUUGCAGCCCAUCGAAUAAGGAAACUACAAACUCCCAGGCCCCUGAUAGAAGAAAUAGAUUCAUUGCCAGAUCCACCACCCCGGCCGCCAAAGAUGAAAAUCAAACCUGGUAGACUAUUUACAUGUUCGCCCUCCCCAAAAGAAGGGAGGACAUCCCCGUUUGUUCCCAUCCCAUCGCCUGUGAGUCAGGCGAGAGCAUCACCAGUUCCAAGGUCUUCACCAGCACCUGUACAGGUGGUACCAAGGUCACCCGCAACACCACCUAUUGCUGUGUUAUCAACACCAGCCAUUUCAAUACCUCAAGGAAUCACUACCAGCAUGUCCAAUAUUGGACAAGUACAAGUAACUGAUCUGCAGGUAUCUCAACCUGCGAGUACAGUCAGUGCAGCAAUAACAACAACACAACCACAACAGUUACCUGGUUACACUGUGCCUGCUACUAUGGUACAGCCUGGAAAACUAGUUGUCCAGUCUUCAGGAACUGCUACUUCGAGUAUUAGAUCGCAGCUUGUCACUUCACAACCGAUCACUGUGCAGAUUGGACAGCAAGGUGCGAGGCUAGCUGUGCCACCAGGACAGCUGAGACAAUUACCUCAAGCACCAACACCUGCACGGACAACACAAAUUGCAACCCCAGCACGGACAGCAACAUCCAUACGGACUCCAACCCCUACUCCUACAGUAACAGCUGCAGUUGCAUCACCUGUAUUGGCAACCAAAUCCAUAGAGUGUGAGAUGCCGAUGAUGACGACGAGAGCCACAGUCACAAGCAUUAAGAAAGAGGUUGAUGAUGAAAUACAAUCUGUCAAAUCACCUUUGUAUCUGGAAUCUGUUGCUGAAGCCAAACGACAAGAACGUACAGACAAACUGAAAAGCCUAGUUCGUUUUAACAACUAUCGAUGUGACGCAUGUCCUGUGUAUGGGCAAGACUUGUUCCAGGCAGUGUCCAUUCUGAAUGACACUGUACCAUGUAGGGUGAUGGAUACAACGUGGAGGAGUGCUGGAUUGAUUCAUUGUUAUAACGUACAUAGCAAUCCCAAUGUUAACCAUCCUCAAGUGUACUUCAGGCAGACCCAAACUUUACGAAACUUAAUCAGAGUUCCUGAGCAGAUAGUGGAAGAUCUGAAAGAGAUCAUUGACAGGUAUGCGUUCUGUGUUCCAACAACAGAGGCAAAGCCAGUGACAAUGCAUGCAUCCCAUGCGCCACCAAGUCUGCUGAAAAAGAAUAUGGAGAUGAGGGAGAUUUUACAUAAUCAGCUGAUGCCAAAAACGCUUUUACUAAGUCCCUUUGAAUCUGCGAUGAAAAUGCACUUCCCUGAAAGACGGCUUAUACAGUAUGACUGCGGCAAGCUCCAGAGACUUGAUCAUUUACUUCGAGAGUUGAAGUAUGGAAGUCACAGGGUGCUGAUAUUCACCCAGAUGACUCGUAUGCUUGAUAUUCUGGAGUGUUUUCUCAACUACCAUGGUUAUACUUAUCUUAGAUUAGACGGCACAACUAAGAUUGAAAUGAGACAGGCUUUAAUGGAACGUUUCAAUGCAGAUAAAAGGGUCUUUGUAUUUAUACUAUCAACACGUAGUGGUGGUGUUGGUGUGAAUUUGACUGGUGCAGACACUGUCAUCUUUUAUGACAGUGACUGGAAUCCUACCAUGGAUGCACAAGCUCAGGAUCGAUGUCAUAGAAUUGGACAAACAAGAGAUGUACACAUUUACAGAUUAAUUAGUGACAAGACAGUGGAGGAGAAUAUUCUGAAGAAGGCUAAUCAGAAACGAAUGUUGGUUGAUGUUUCCAUUGAAGGAGGUAACUUUACAACUGCCUUUUUCAAACAGUCUAGUAUUAGUGAUCUGUUCAACAUGUCGGCACAGGCACAGAAAGAAGAGAAAAAGGUUCUAAUUGAGGAAAUAAAGCCUGAACCAGUACAAGAUCCGUUAUCACAGACUGAACUAGAGCAGGCUUUGGCUAAAGCAGAGGAUGAAUUAGAUGUGAAGGCAGCUACCAUAGCCUGUGCAGAACAAGAAGCAGAGUUGGCCGAGUUUGAUGAAAAUAUUCCAAUAGAUGGGGAAGAUAGUCAACAACCAUCUGAAGAAGUGUCCAAAGUGGAGGAAGAACUCUCUCAACUUGAAGAUCAGCUCACACCAGUUGAAAGGUAUGCUCUGAUAUACCUCGAAUCUACACUGGAACCAGUUGCGUGUGAACAGUUGAAACUUGCAGAGGAACAAGUUGAAGCGGCAAAGAAAGAAUGGGAGUUGGGGAGAUUACAGAAAUUGAAAGAGGAAGAAGAGCGUAAAGCAGAGAUGGAGGAUGACGACAUCCUGUAUACGUACAGCAGGGAGGAAGCGUAUAACAAGGUGCAUAAACAAAAAAGACGAAGCACUAGGGAUAGUAGUAGACGCUCAUCAGGAGUUUCCCGCUCAAAUAAUGCAAAAUCAAAAUCUAAUGAUAAUUCUAGCAAUAGUGUCUCCCAGCAAAAAAAUUCAACCCAACAAUCAAUUCAAUUGCCCAAGUCUCCAACAACUCGCCUAUUAGUAGAAAAUGGACCCACCACUCCGAAAGCUAGCCCCGCUCAGUAUAUUACUCGGCGUAAUAGUGAAAACUUUGGUAAAUGCGGCAGUGGUUCUGAUCUCAACUCUCCUAGUAGUAUAGAUGGCCAUGUAAUGACCAGAUCUAGGAAUAAUUCUUCCAGUAACAUAGAUGCUGUUGCUCUUGGUAGCCCCAGAGCUAGCUCGCCGAUUAAACAAAUGUGCUCCCCAACUAGACAGAGGCGAAGCUCCAGAAUAUCCUCAGACGAUCUUGGCAAUGGUGGUGGUACUACUCUUACCCAUUGCCAUCUCAAGUACAGGGCCAUGCGAUCGUCAUGGAUGCAUGCAAGGAAUGGUGUAUGCGGAGAGUUGAAGGACUCCAAUGUGGUUUAUGUAGCAGAUACUUCAUCAGCUGUGAUGCCAAUGUGGGCACCACCAACCCCUCCCCAGGAUGACAAUGAUGUGUACAUAGAUACAGCCAUGUGUAUAUUGUAUGAGAGCAAUCCCAUGUCGGAGUCUCAACUACCACAGUGUUACGUCAAGAAGGAACGUGUCAAGAGAAUACGAUUAGAUUCAGUUGGUCAUAAGAAGGUUCUCAAGGGAGAGCAUGUCCACUUGCCAAGAUCACUGUUCGACCGCCCAACUGCUGCCAUUAUCAAGAUGAGACGUGAAGCCAAGCAACUAAAGAUCAAAGCGUUAAUGAAGCAGCAGCCAAUGAAACCGAUACCUGUAGUCAAUAAGCCAGUCAUUGAUACGCAGCAAGACAAGCCUGAGUGGCUGAUUAAUGAAGAUUGGGCUUUAUUACAGGCGGUGCAGACUCUUCUUGAGCUACCCCUGAACCUGACGGUGGUGUCACCAGGUCACUGUAUCAAUUGGGACUUGGUAAGCGAUGUGGUCAACUCGUGUAGUCGCAUUUACCGUUCACCAAAGCAGUGCAAGAAUCGAUACGAGAGCGUGAUAGUGCCGCGAGAAGAGGGGAAGAUUUUGUACGAUACCAAUCCAAAGAAGCAGAAAAAAUCCAAGGGUAUCUAUAAGUUGCUUGGAUUUCAGACCAAAAAUAACAGGACCCAUGAAGACAAGUCAGCUGUUCUCACAAGAUCAAAACUCUUCUUUCUCCAACUUGCUGUCUGGUAAAUUUGACCUGGUGAAAGUCACAGCUUCAAAGCGAACACCACCUCUGAAACAAGUAUUAAAAAAUCCAAACCAAAAAAAUCCCAAACAUGCAGCGGUGUUGUUGGACAGUAGUAUCAAUUAUGACAAACCUCUAGUACCUGUACAAGUGGCGGCCAUCAGAGCUGAGCGUAUUUCGCGGGAGAAGAAACAGCAACAACUUGCAGCAGCCAAUGCUGCGGCUGCAGCAGAACAGCAACAGCAACAGCAACAGAGAAUAGCUGCUGCACAACAGCAACAAGCAGCUGCAGCAGCAGCUGCUGCUGCUGCAGUUCAACAGCAGCAGCAAGUGGCUCAAGUCCAACAGGCUCAGCCAACUGCAACAGUUCAGGUUGCUCAAGCCGUGCCGGUAGCUGCUACAGCAACGACAACAACGGUUGUGCAAACUGGUCCACUUACAAGAACACCGCCAGUGAAAGCAGCCGGUAACAACAGUAUAGUGGUGAACACUGCAGGCAGUGUGGCAUCGGUGGGAGCUGGCACUACAUUUGCCAACAUUAAUAAAAGAAUGAGUCAAACUGCAUCACUUCCGGGUCAAGUUACGGCUGCAACUAUAAGUACUAUUCCAUCAACUAUUGUUGGUGCAACAAGACAGCAGCAAAUCCGAACACCUAUACAGGUUUCAGCAGCUGAGGUAGCAGCAGUAGUUGCAGGGCAAGUACAGCGUACAGGUGGCAUAACUACUGCAGUUGCUUCCCCAGUAACUGCUUUACAACAAGGAAGAAUUGCUGUCACAACUACAGGCAGCACCAAAAGCCUUACUCCUGCCCAAGUAGCUUACAUAAAACAGCAGCAGCAGCAGCAACAACAACAGCAGUUACAGCGCAAGGCAAUUGCCCAGCAGCAGCAGCAGCAACAGAAUGUCCAGUUGCGAUUACAGCAGCAGCAGCAGCAGCAGCAACAACAAAUAAAACGUCUUCAGAUCCAUCAAGGUCAGGCUCAAGCUCAUCCAGUAACACAAAAAGUGACGAUUGUUAGUACUGGAGUGGUAACCAGUGUAUCGCAAGCACAUCUUGCAACACAGGCACGGCAGAUACAGGCAUUAAAGCAGCAGCAACUGAAGACUACCAGGACUGUGACUGAAGCCGAGAUGACUGCUCUGCUCCAGAGAAGGCAAGCUCUGCAUCUGCAUCAACAGCAUCAACAGCAGCAAAAGGUUCAAUCAGCAGCCCUGGUUGCUGCUAAAUCAGUAGCGCCAGUUUCUGUGACUGGCACCUCGCUCUCUCUUGGUGGAAUAACCGUGAAUGUAACUAAACCGCAGCAACAAAAAGCAACAGUCACAUUAACCUCACAGCAGCAACAGAUUCGACAUUUGCACCUGCUUCGGCAGCAAAAGCAGCAACAGGCACAGCAUGCCCAGAAGGUGCAAGCAUUAACAAAAAAUCAAGGAACUGUACAAUUUACAUCGAUGACUAAAGCACAACUGCAGCCACCGUUAACUCAGGCACAGCUGAAACAGCUGCAACAGUUGCAGCAACAGCAACAGAAACAGUUGCAAGGUUCUCCUGUUACUGUGCAUCAGAUUACAAAGUCGAUACCGGUCAUCUCGCAAACCACUGGUGGGAUUUUGACAGUAACUUCACAGGCACCUUCCACAGUAAUCACCACUCUACCCACUUCAGCCACCAUUGUGACGUCAUCACCUGGCAUUGUCUCACAUCAACAAUUGGCUAAACUGCAGCAAGCUAUGGCAGUGUCAAAACCUAUGGUUGCAACUUCUCACUCGAUUGUUCACGUGAGUAGUGCAGCAACGCUUAGUGUGCCGCCAACUGCCACAAUGACUAUCACCACUCCGGCUAAGCCUGUUAUAGCUGUCACAACACAGCACCUCUCUCCUCAGGUGCAUCAAACAUUGCAGCACAAAGCACAAACACAGCAAGUUACACCACAGCCUGUGAGGGUGCAACAAGUACAGUUACAGCUACAGCAGCAGCAGCAGCAGCAGCAACAGCAGCAGCAGCAACAGCAGCAGCAGCAACAACAGCAGCAGCAGCAACAACAGCAGCAGCAGCAACAACAACAGCAGCAGCAACAACAACAGCAGCAGCAACAACAACAGCAGCAACAACAACAACACAGCAGCAGCAGCAACAACAGCAGCAGCAGCAGCAACAACAGCAGCAGCAGCAGCAACAACAGCAGCAACAACAGCAGCAGCAGCAGCAACCACAACAGGCAGCAAAGCCAUCACCUUAUGCUAUGAGACUCAGAAAUCCUCCAAAACAUUAGACAUUUGAAAAGAAAGAAAAAAAAAAUGUAUUUGUAAUAUUUACAAAAUACAGCCAAAUAGUUGUUGGUGGAUAUAUUUUUCAAUACUAUGUGCUGUGACAAACACUCGCCAUGUCUGAUAUGUUUGACAUUUGCAAUCAUUUAGUAAAAUACUACCUUUGUAGUUAAUAAUUUAAGAGAAUAACCAUUCCAACUUUUUUCAUUUUUGGAAAUACUUUUUUUUUCCUGCAUGUACACUAGCUAAAAUUCUGUAUGAUUUGUAUGUAUUUAUUUGAAAACCCAUUUGAAGAGUACAUUAAUAGACACAUUUGUAAAUAUUUUUCCAUUUUUUCCAACAUUUUUGAUUUCAUACUUCUCUACAAUGUUUUUUAUUUGAAGCCGUCAUCUUGCAAUUAUACCAUUUGUGUUAUCCUUGUGUGGUCAGUCCGGGGUUGGGGGUGUUACCAUGUGAUUCAAACUGUUUAUUGGUUAAAAAAUAAUCACAUGGUACUGUCAAAGUUCAAACGUGUUUGCGUGUUCAGGCAGUGUAAUACAUUCAUACCAAACAAAUUCUCUGGUUUUGGCAGAUGUCUUCAAAAGUCAUACAAGAUUUUCUUCUAUGCUGGGUACUGAUAGGUGGAAUCAUUAUUGCUGUAUUUUGAUUAAAUUUCCUAAUUCUGUUCUGCCAGCUUCUUCACUGAAUUUCAAGGAGAAUAUGUAAACUCACUGGGGAGUGGUAGUUGGUCCCAUUUUAAAUAUCGCUAAACAUUAGUGUGGGGAAUUUGAAUAACUAAGUAUGCCUACUGUUAUGAUCAUUGACAAAGACUAGUCACUGGCCAAUGUUGCAAGAUUUUCAAAUUUGUUACCGUAAUACUGAGGAUAUGCCAAGAACGGACCUGCCGAGAUGCUACGGAAAAUCCAGUAAUUCACCAAUGUCGCGAGUUGUAGAGUGGGAAUUGAAAGCUUAGACAGCUGGGUUGAUUGUUCGAUAUAAUACAAUCAAUGUAACACAACAUUGUGUGUCUACCCAUAUGUAGACAAUAGCAAAUAUAUUCAAAUAGUGAAAUCGGAUAAAUUCAAGUCCUUGAUGCCCUGCAAAAGACUUGAUGUUAAGGUGCUUUGACUGUCGGUUUAUUUUAUGCGAAUUGUGAGUUUGCUUAAUUUUUACUUCGUAAUCAGUUGAAUUUGUACAAGGUAAUACUAUGGUUUUUUUUAUCCCUUGGCAGUAGUCUCAUCCAGGAUGUCCCAUUUGUACCACUUUCUGGGGAUUCUCUGAAUAAAUGUGCAAAAACACUGCAAGAAAUAGGCAAUCAUAUUAUUUGUGGCCAGCAUUUUCAAUCCAGAAGUCAGAGAAAUAUCUUUUUUUUGUAUGAUCUGGAAAUGUCAAUGGAAUUUCCUCAACAUUGGGAAAUAUAACUCGCACAAGUUCCUGAUUAUUGCCAAAGUAUCUAGCGCUGUUGAUGAGAAAUUACUUUGUUCCCACCCACCAAAACACAAAGAUUGGAAGGAGGAUGAUGAACUAGUAGAUAAUGUGUGCCAGAAAAGUAAUUUUGACAUGUUUGAUGUUGCAGAUACAUUCAGUGGUUUGUAAAGGAAAUAAUAGGUUGUUAAUAACAUUGCGUAUUAUACAGGUUUUAAUUUAGCGAAAGAAAUGAGGGAGAUAAAACCCAGCUACUGAUUUAGGCCUCUGCAGUAGGUGAUUUGAAUGAAAAUCAUAGAAAUAUAACCAAGAUAAAAACUACGUUGCCAUAGCCUACAAAGAUGAAAUAAUACAAUUAAGGCACGAUUUUAAAAAAAAGUUGUUUUUUUUGAUUCAGUAAGGGACCCAAAUCUUUAAGACAAGUUAUCUUGCUCCCCCUUCAAAUGCUGAAUGAGAUGCCAGUUAUUUUGCUUUCCUCCCCAGUUUAACAUCACGCUUACAUGACAACACGCAUUGGGAUUGAUUCAUAUUCCAGCACAUGCAUUUCAUUUCUGUCAGUUUCACUCAUCACAGGGAAUGUUUUGCCAAUUUUUUUUAGCCUAAUUGGGGGGUGAUGAUAAAUAUACAUGUGCAUUGCAAAAGUUGUACCGUAGUUGAAGCCAUUAUUCUUAUCCAUGAUGCCCUGUCAGUGUGCAAUUUACCAGUGUCCCAUUAUAGUGCAGAAAGUCAACUUGAAAAGUUCAUCGCGAAAACUGCACAAUCGGCUUAGAAUUUGUUUUUUGUUUAAUUUUUUGUUUGUGAGAGCUGCACCUCAAUCUUGUAUACUCCCAUAUGGAGGCUUGAUCAAAUCUCCUAAUAUUAGACGUCCAAUGAGCGUUUCAAGCACAGUUUGCUCACAUACGAGAUGUCCCAUUGGAUUUUGUCAAAUAUGUGAGCGAAUAACCAACCAAAGUUGAUAGUCUCAAGUGCUUGUACAUUACAUCUCAUUUCAAUCAGAUAGUUAUCGUGCCACAUGUUGGAUGUGUGUCCCAUAGCAACGCAUGGAAAAUGCAUUUCAUUUUCAAUCUGAUUAAGCAAUGCAUAAUGUGAUGAUAAUAAUGGCAUUCAUUCAGUGUUGAAUAGUUUGUUGUCACCUUAAUUGCCUUAAAUGUUGUAUUUAAAAAAUGUUAAUGGAAAGGAAUUGUUUUUCCAUCUUGUAAAAUUAACUAUAAUACCAAACUUGUUGUAUUAAAGUUGGGCUUUUUAACAAAA